GUCAAUAAAAUCAGGUCAUUCAGUGGAAGUUCUCCUACACAGAAGUUGCUGGGUGCAUGGGAGAAAGAGGACUAAAUAAAAUCAGCUCUAAGAGUAUCUCCCUGAAACUGCACAUUAUGCAGCCCACCCUCCAAUGCCUGCAGAAAGCAACUCUAACAGAGGAAGAAGAGGAAAUAAAUCAGACGUGCUACAAGUGGAAGACCUGUGUCCACUUUCAAAGUCCACAGCUUCAGCAUCCUUGGCACCCAG